CGUCUAGGCGGGGAAUUAAGUUAGGUGUGAAAUCCAUGGGCUCAACUCGUGAAUGGCAUCUAAAACUGGUUCUCUUGAGUCCGGGAGAGGAGAGCAGAAUUCCUGGUGUAGCGGUGAAAUGCGUAGAUAUCAGGAGGAAUACCAGUGGCGAGGGCGGCUCUCUGGCCUAGGACUGACGCUGAAGCGCGAAAGCGUGGGGAGCGAACG
rnacentral:rRNA from 1 species